rnacentral:misc_RNA from 1 species
UUGAAUACUAUUGAGCGCUGUGCUGGCCUUUCGGGGCAUGUGCACGCGUUCUUUAUUAUUAUCUAUCUCUUGUGAACCUAGUGUGGGCUUUGGAGGAGCAGUUGACCUUUUGGGUCUUCUGGGAAUCUGAAGGUCAUUUUUAUAAACAUUUAAAAAGUUAACAGAAUGUCUUCUUUACUUGACGCAAGUCGGUAAACAAACCUAUA